AUUGAACGCUGGCGGCAGGCCUAACACAUGCAAGUCGAGCGGAUGAAGGGAGCUUGCUCCUGGAUUCAGCGGCGGACGGGUGAGUAAUGCCUAGGAAUCUGCCUGGUAGUGGGGGAUAACGUCCGGAAACGGGCGCUAAUACCGCAUACGUCCUGAGGGAGAAAGUGGGGGAUCUUCGGACCUCACGCUAUCAGAUGAGCCUAGGUCGGAUUAGCUAGUUGGUGGGGUAAAGGCCUACCAAGGCGACGAUCCGUAACUGGUCUGAGAGGAUGAUCAGUCACACUGGAACUGAGACACGGUCCAGACUCCUACGGGAGGCAGCAGUGGGGAAUAUUGGACAAUGGGCGAAAGCCUGAUCCAGCCAUGCCGCGUGUGUGAAGAAGGUCUUCGGAUUGUAAAGCACUUUAAGUUGGGAGGAAGGGCAGUAAGUUAAUCCCUUGCUGUUUUGACGUUACCGACAGAAUAAGCACCGGCUAACUUCGUG
rnacentral:rRNA from 1 species